rnacentral:rRNA from 1 species
AAAUUGAAGAGUUUGAUCAUGGCUCAGAUUGAACGCUGGCGGCAGGCCUAACACAUGCAAGUCGAACGGUAACAGGAAGCAGCUUGCUGCUUUGCUGACGAGUGGCGGACGGGUGAGUAAUGUCUGGGAAACUGCCUGAUGGAGGGGGAUAACUACUGGAAACGGUGGCUAAUACCGCAUAACGUCGCAAGACCAAAGAGGGGGACCUUCGGGCCUCUUGCCAUCAGAUGUGCCCAGAUGGGAUUAGCUUGUUGGUGAGGUAACGGCUCACCAAGGCGACGAUCCCUAGCUGGUCUGAGAGGAUGACCAGCCACACUGGAACUGAGACACGGUCCAGACUCCUACGGGAGGCAGCAGUGGGGAAUAUUGCACAAUGGGCGCAAGCCUGAUGCAGCCAUGCCGCGUGUAUGAAGAAGGCCUUCGGGUUGUAAAGUACUUUCAGCGGGGAGGAAGGUGUUGUGGUUAAUAACCGCAGCAAUUGACGUUACCCGCAGAAGAAGCACCGGCUAACUCCGUGCCAGCAGCCGCGGUAAUACGGAGGGUGCAAGCGUUAAUCGGAAUUACUGGGCGUAAAGCGCACGCAGGCGGUCUGUCAAGUCGGAUGUGAAAUCCCCGGGCUCAACCUGGGAACUGCAUUCGAAACUGGCAGGCUUGAGUCUUGUAGAGGGGGGUAGAAUUCCAGGUGUAGCGGUGAAAUGCGUAGAGAUCUGGAGGAAUACCGGUGGCGAAGGCGGCCCCCUGGACAAAGACUGACGCUCAGGUGCGAAAGCGUGGGGAGCAAACAGGAUUAGAUACCCUGGUAGUCCACGCCGUAAACGAUGUCUACUUGGAGGUUGUGCCCUUGAGGCGUGGCUUCCGGAGCUAACGCGUUAAGUAGACCGCCUGGGGAGUACGGCCGCAAGGUUAAAACUCAAAUGAAUUGACGGGGGCCCGCACAAGCGGUGGAGCAUGUGGUUUAAUUCGAUGCAACGCGAAGAACCUUACCUGGUCUUGACAUCCACAGAACUUUCCAGAGAUGGAUUGGUGCCUUCGGGAACUGUGAGACAGGUGCUGCAUGGCUGUCGUCAGCUCGUGUUGUGAAAUGUUGGGUUAAGUCCCGCAACGAGCGCAACCCUUAUCCUUUGUUGCCAGCGAUUAGGUCGGGAACUCAAAGGAGACUGCCAGUGAUAAACUGGAGGAAGGUGGGGAUGACGUCAAGUCAUCAUGGCCCUUACGACCAGGGCUACACACGUGCUACAAUGGCGCAUACAAAGAGAAGCGACCUCGCGAGAGCAAGCGGACCUCAUAAAGUGCGUCGUAGUCCGGAUUGGAGUCUGCAACUCGACUCCAUGAAGUCGGAAUCGCUAGUAAUCGUGGAUCAGAAUGCCACGGUGAAUACGUUCCCGGGCCUUGUACACACCGCCCGUCACACCAUGGGAGUGGGUUGCAAAAGAAGUAGGUAGCUUAACCUUCGGGAGGGCGCUUACCACUUUGUGAUUCAUGACUGGGGUGAAGUCGUAACAAGGUAACCGUAGGGGAACCUGCGGUUGGAUCACCUCCUUACCUGA